AUGUCAUCAAAUGAGUAGAGGGUGAUACGUCUAUACAGUUAAAAUACCAUAGUGAGUACUGUGACUUAAUUUAGAUGGAAGAUUUUGUCACUGCUGGAAUUCUGACAUAAUUGUUAGUAUUUUAGUAAAGGUUUUGUAGAAAAGAUCUGGAAUAGAAUGUUUGCAUACAUUUGUGAUGUUAUCCUUGCAAUAGAUGUAUCAGUAUGUAUUUUGUGGUCGUUGUGUAGUAACGUUGUAGCUGUUAUGCAGUCAGUAUUUUAGAUCAGUUUCUUCAUCGCUGUGUAUUUGCAAGUGCUAUUGAUCGUCUGGAUCCCGUUGUUAAGGCUGAUUAUGAAGUUGCUGUGAAAUAGAAGUUGCCAAUAAUGCGAGGGAACAUUGACAUGCUUGGUGAAGAAAAUGCAGGCAAGACGACAUUGGGAGAUGCUUUUCUAGAUCAGCCAUUUAUAGAGAAGAGGGAAAGUACGGCUCUUGCUGAGCAGGGACGGUUUAUGUUGGUUCGCUGCAGAUGGCUCAGAUGUUUUCUGUUGCCUCGUUGUUGAUUGAUCCUAUUAUCGCACAUUUCACGGAUUUCAAGUUCUGAUCUGUAAAGAGAGGCUGCCAUUGUCCAACAAGUUUACUGAAAGGUGUGGCCAUUUAGAUGGUGACAGCAAAGAGAUUUCUCCCGUUUUCCUUCAAUUUCUUGAAGUCAUGUGGCAGGUCCAGUGCCAAUUUCCAUGUACUUUCCAGUUUAAUGAGACGCUUUCCAUUCAUCUCCACGAGCAUGCCAGAUCAUGUCAGUUUGGAACAUUUCUUGGCAACUGCGAACGAGAACGAAAAGAGCUAGAAUUUAGUAGUCAAGCGUAUUCAUUGUGGGAUUUGUAUGGGAGCAUGCGAGUCAGUAUUUGAAUCUCACGUAUCGGCCAAUGACGAAAUACACUGAAAUGAUGCUUCAUCCAGACACUAGCCCACAGAGAAUAAAGAUUUGGAGAGGAAUGUACAAUCAUCUUGAUCACACUGUGCUGCCUCAGCAAUCAACACAAUCUUGUCUUGCAAGCAUCAUAAGAGAAACAGAGAAUUGACGGAACCUAGAACAUGUUAAUACGUACAACACAGACAGAAUCAUGGUAUAAAUAGAAUAAUAAAUCAACAGACAAGCAGACAGAAACAGAAGUGUAUUGCAAGACAAGAGUAACAAAAUAAUAAAUUUUAGUAAGCAAAUGUACCUCAUGUGUUGUAACAUAAGAAUGACACACAUUGAUGCUUCUUGACAACAAAUAAUGACUCGUGUGCAUUAUGGAUACAAAAUAAUUGAAAUAAAUGUUUAUUGAAUGUUGAUGUCAAAUAUUAAUUAAAUAGCUGACCACUCAAUGAACAUUGAAAAUAA